GGUCUUUUGUUUAAAAUAUAAGAUCAGGCCUGCCCAUUGAUUUUUAAUAAUUUAAAGGCUGCGGUAUUUUAACUGUACGAAGGUAGCAUAAUCAUUUGUCUUUUAAUUGAAGGCUAGCAUGAAUGGUUUAAUGAAAAAUUAACUUUCUUUUUUUUAAAAAUUUAAACUUAAUUUUUUAGUUAAAAAGCUAAAAUAAAUAUAUAGGACGAGAAGACCCUUUAGAAGUUAACUUUUUUUAUAAAAUUAUUUUUUUGGUUAAUAAAUAUUUCUUUUUUGAAUAAAAAGUUUUGUUGGGGCGACAAUAAAAUUUUUAUAACUUUUAUUUUUUUAUUCAUUUAUUUAUGUAUUUUUGAUCCAUAAUUUUUGAUUAUAAGAUUAACUUACCUUAGGGAUAACAGCGUAAUUUUUUCGGAGAGUUCAUAUCGAUGAAUAAGUUUGCGA
rnacentral:rRNA from 1 species